UACGGAGGGUGCAAACGUUGCUCGGAAUCAUUGGGCGUAAAGCGCACGUAGGCGGUUUGUUAAGUCGGGUGUGAAAGCCCUGGGCUCAACCCAGGAAGUGCACUCGAAACUAGCAGGCUUGAGUAUGGAAGAGGGUCGCGGAAUUCCCGGUGUAGAGGUGAAAUUCGUAGAUAUCGGGAGGAACACCAGUGGCGAAGGCGGCGACCUGGGCCAAUACUGACGCUGAGGUGCGAAAGCGUGGGGAGCAAACAGG
rnacentral:rRNA from 1 species